UUGCACAUCAUCGCUCGUGACCUAACGCCCAACUGCUGCACCCAUGCCUCUUCCCUUGGCCAGAUCAAUUCCAGCAUUGGGCAGAUGGAGUAAAUAAAGAUAGCUUCAAAGAUCUUGGACAUUCUCCUCUAGGCUCAUCUACAAGCAGGAAUCCAAGGUCUAGUCACAUUGAAUGAGUUUCUCAGACAGAGGAUUUGUUGCAGCAGUAUUGAGACAAACCAGGAGAAGAAAAAAGGAAGAAAGUUUAUGCAAUGUUAGAGUUGCUUUCAUUUAUCCCAUAUGCCAUGACAAUUCUAUUGUCCUUCAGAGAUGAAAGUAAAUGAACUUUGUGGAAUAUGA